rnacentral:rRNA from 1 species
AACGAACGCUGGCGGCAUGCCUAACACAUGCAAGUCGAACGAGACCUUCGGGUCUAGUGGCGCACGGGUGCGUAACGCGUGGGAACCUGCCCUUAGGUUCGGAAUAACUCCCCGAAAGGGGUGCUAAUACCGGAUAAUGUCUUCGGACCAAAGAUUUAUCGCCUUUGGAUGGGCCCGCGUUGGAUUAGCUAGUUGGUAGGGUAAAAGCCUACCAAGCCGACGAUCCAUAGCUGGUCUGAGAGGAUGAUCAGCCACACUGGGAAUGAGACACGGCCCAGACUCCUACGGGAGGCAGCAGUGGGGAAUAUUGGACAAUGGGCGAAAGCCUGAUCCAGCAAUGCCGCGUGAGUGAUGAAGGCCUUAGGGUUGUAAAGCUCUUUUACCCGGGAUGAUAAUGACAGUACCGGGAGAAUAAGCUCCGGCUAACUCCGUG